UACGUAGGGCGCAAGCGUUGUCCGGAAUUAUUGGGCGUAAAGAGCUCGUAGGCGGUUUGUCGCGUCUGCUGUGAAAACCUAAGGCUCAACCUUGGGCUUGCAGUGGGUACGGGCAGACUAGAGUUCGGUAGGGGAGACUGGAAUUCCUGGUGUAGCGGUGAAAUGCGCAGAUAUCAGGAGGAACACCGAUGGCGAAGGCAGGUCUCUGGGCAUUAACUGACGCUGGAGGAGCGAAAGCAUGGGGAGCGAACAGG
rnacentral:rRNA from 1 species